GGAUAUAGAUUAAAAAAAAAAAUUGUUAGUUUGAAUACUAAGAUGAAGUGUUUGUGUUUAUACGUAUAAAAACAAGAACAGCAGGAAGUACUCUGGGAAGAGACAUACUGACAAAGGAAUCACAAGCAAGAACGCUGUUUUCCUCAGUCUAAUGCAUAGAAUGUUACCUUCAGUGAACACUAUUAAAUGCAUAACAGUAAGCUUAUUUUUUACACUACACUCUUAAAAUCAUUUGCCUUAGUUUUUUGUUUUUUUUAAAGACGAGUUGAAGUUAUUUUUGUAUUAAACACUCCACCUAUUUUUUUUGCAGUCUAAGAUACCAUGAUAGGUUAGGGUCGGGUCUGCAUCCAGCAAGAUGUCACUAACUCCGAAGGUAGUGGUCUUGGCGUCCUUUUAAGUAAUUUAGUCAUUUAUUGCCACGAGAAGCGUGAGCAGCCAAGAUAGGGCUUAACGUGGUGCUUUACUAAAGUGACUUCCUUUUGAGCAGUGUCAGGUCCACUGAUAACGUUCGGUCGACCUUUUAAAAGUGUCAUAGCAUCUUAGUGGAGUAACUAUAAACCGUUAGCUGAGGGCUAGUAAAAUAUCAUGCACUGUUUUCCAUUCUCCAAUUGCAAGCAGAGUUAAAGACACAGCUAAACUGGUAUGUUGGGUAGUUUGCGUUUUCCUCCUUCCAGAUCAUUCGACCGUGUCCCCGGGGACAGGUCAGACUCGGGGCCCUGGCUCUCUGACCGUCUCGCCUGGAUGGAAUGCUCUGUGCCUUUUCCCUGUGUUGUCGUUGCUUGAGUUGCUUCCGCUGGCCAGCGUGUGCCGGCUAAUCACGGGGUUUGAUUAUUUUUGUUGUUCUGGGUCUUAUGUGUGUGUGGCCUGCUGGUCAGGCAGCACUUUAUUAUAAUUUUUUUUUUAGGUUGCUUUAUGUUUACGUAAGGAAAUAGGCACUCACGUACUUGUGUGAAUAUUUGCUGUUUGUGUUUUUCUGUCUCUUUUGGCCUUCAUAGUCACCGCAGACACUCCCAGGCCGGGCUCUAUGCGCUUCUUAGAGGAAUCUAACAAAUAAAAUAAAACGAGUUGUGUGUCUGUCUCUCUGUGUCCUCCUCCCUCCCUCCCUCCCUCCCCGGCCCCCCAGUUUUUUAACAAUAAUCAGUCACCAUAACCACACAGCUCUCUACUGAGUGGCUUCUGAGUUCAGUUUGCCUCGAACUGAACAAGAGGUGGUGAUGGCUUGAGAUGAGUUUGCCCUUAGGAGCAGGAGCGACCCAGCCAACCGGCGAACAGCUUGAGCGUAUCAGCACGGGCAGAGGGAGGACUUUGAAAGUCGCGUUGGGGUGGCUCGAAGAUUCCGUGCCAAAUUUAAAACGAUGAGAAUGUACAAGAAGCCGGUGGCUUUUCUAAGACUUUAAAUAGGGUCAUGGGCAAGUGUUACCUGCUGUUAGAAAGAAUGAUGGGUAAUGUGAGAAUCGUUUUCUAACCCGCUUAGAAAAUUGGACAAUUCUUUCUUAGGCCCUUCGCUUGCUUUUGCGUUGUCUCUCGGUAAAGUCUGCAGGGGUUACCUGAGGGGGAUCGGCCUCUAUUUCCUUCCAAACUAUUUCUCCUUCACGGUCCUUUUAUGCUGGAAUGUUAGCAUGUCCUCUGCACCUCCUUUGGAAGUAGCCUUAAUAAGACAAAAGUAAUAGGAUGAGCUUGUAUGGUAGGUGAGAGAUUUUGGUAGAGAGAAAGCCUACGUUUUGUUUCCUCCUCACCCAUCAACUUGUUAUGUAUCGAUUGAUCUUAAGUCUAUGACUAUUGGAAAAAUUCCCAAAGAAUCUAAAUUUGGCCUCUUGUAGCCAUUAUAUAAAUAGAAAUGAAGAUUAUAUUCACGGAAUAGAGGUUAUACAGAGACGACAAACCCCCCCUCCUCCCCCCAAUUCUUAAGUAUUGUCAGUGCUUGCAUUACUUUUGGAAAUUCUAAAGCAUUUCUUGAAUAGAACAG